AUUGAACGCUGGCGACAUGCCUUACACAUGCAAGUCGAACGGCAGCACGGGUGGUUGCAUCUGGUGGCGUUUGCCGAAGGCGGGAGAGUUACACCUGGAUAUGUUCCGUAUUUGACGAUAGUCCGUCCGAAGCAGCAUUAAUACUACCUGCGAAUAACUUAUGAGGGAUGGGUACCUUGUGCCUUCGCGCUUUCCGGUUAGUCGAUGGCUGAUUAGCUAGUUGGUGGGGUAAAGGCCUAGCAACGCGAUGACCAGUAACUGGUCUGAGAGGACGAACAGCCACACUGGGACUGAGACACGGCCCAGACUCCUACGGGAGGCAGCAGUGGGGAAUUUUGGACAAUGGGCGAAAGCCUGAUCCAGCAAUGCCGCGUGUGUGAAGAAGGCCUUCGGGUUGUAAAGCCCUUUUGUCCGGAAAGAAAUCCUUGGCCAUAAUACGGUCGGGGGAUGACGGUACCGGAAGAAUAAGCACCGGCUAACUACGUG
rnacentral:rRNA from 1 species